CGGUCUCAUUCCGAACCCGGAAGCUAAGCCCUCCAGCGCCGAUGGUACUGCACUCGGGAGGGUGUGGGAGAGUAGGACGCCGCCGGAC
rnacentral:rRNA from 1 species